GACGAACGCUGGCGGCGUGCUUAAUACAUGCAAGUCGAACGAUGCAUCUCAUUCGGAAAUGGAUUAGUCGCGAACGGGUGAGGAACAAUUGAGGAACAUGUCUUUCAUUUGGGGAUAACUCCGGGAAACCGGGGCAAAAGCCGAACACUCCGUCGCGGCCGCAUCGAUAACCCGGGCAAACAGUUUGAAGAAAGAUGGUCUCGCGGCCUAUGAGCUAGUUGGUGAGGUAAGGGCACACCAAGGCAACGACGGGUAGCCAGCCCGAGAGGGCGAACGGCCACACUGGGACUGAGACACGGCCCAGACUCCUACGGGAGGCAGCAGUGGGGAAUAUUGGGCAAUGGGCGCAAGCCUGACCCAGCGACGCCGCGUGAGGGAUGAAGGCCUUCGGGUUGUAAACCUCUUACAGUAGGGAAGAAGCGAAAGUGACGGUACCUAAAGAAGAAGCACCGGCUAACUAUGUGCCAGCCGCCGCAGUAA
rnacentral:rRNA from 1 species